AUCUAGCCAUGGGCAGGUUGAAGGUUGGGUAACACUAACUGGAGGACCGAACCGACUAAUGUUGAAAAAUUAGCGGAUGACCUGUGGCUGGGGGUGAAAGGCCAAUCAAACCGGGAGAUAGCUGGUUCUCCCCGAAAGCUAUUUAGGUAGCGCCUCGUGAAUUCAUCUCCGGGGGUAGAGCACUGUUUCGGCUAGGGGGCCAUCCCGGCUUACCAACCCGAUGCAAACUGCGAAUACCGGAGAAUGUUAUCACGGGAGACACACGGCGGGUGCUAACGUCCGUCGUGAAGAGGGAAACAACCCAGACCGCCAGCUAAGGUCCCAAAGUCAUGGUUAAGUGGGAAACGAUGUGGGAAGGCCCAGACAGCCAGGAUGUUGGCUUAGAAGCAGCCAUCAUUUAAAGAAAGCGUAAUAGCUCACUGGUCGAGUCGGCCUGCGCGGAAGAUGUAACGGGGCUAAACCAUGCACCGAAGCUGCGGCAGCGACGCUGAUGCGUUGCUGGGUAGGG
rnacentral:rRNA from 1 species